rnacentral:rRNA from 1 species
AUUGAACGCUGGCGGCAUGCUUUACACAUGCAAGUCGAACGGCAGCACGGGUGCUUGCACCUGGUGGCGAGUGGCGAACGGGUGAGUAAUAUAUCGGAACGUGCCCUAGAGUGGGGGACAACCAGUCGAAAGAUUGGCUAAUACCGCAUACGAUCUAAGGAUGAAAGUGGGGGACCUUCGUGCCUCAUGCUCCUGGAGCGGCCGCUACCUGAUUAGCUAGUUGGUGGGGUAAAGGCCUACCAAGGCGACGAUCAGUAGCUGGUUUGAGAGGACGAAGAGCCCUCCUUGGACUGCGACACGGCACGGACUCCUAGGGGAGGCAGCAGUGGGGAAUUUUGAACAAUGGGGGCAACCCUGAUCCAGCAAUGCCGCGUGAGUGAAGAAGGCCUUCGGGUUGUAAAGCUCUUUUGUCAGGGAAGAAAUUGCCUGGGUUAAUACCCUGGGUCGAUGACGGUACCGGAAGAAUAAGGACCGGCUAACUACGUGCCAGCAGCCGCAGUAA